GGAAGGCUUAUAAAGCAUUGCCCCACCCUGCAAUUAGGCUAAGAACACUCUGAUUGGCUGGUUUAAGCCAAUCAGAGUGCUCUUUGUUAUUUUACACAGUGUGGGAAAAUUCCAAAGAACUUUCCCAUGCUGUGUAAUUUGACUCAUAACACUCUGGUGGGCUUGGAAUCUAACCAAUCAGAAUAACUAGGACCAGAUAAAAAUAGAAUAUAAUGCUAAAAUAAUGUAUAUUUAAAACGUAAUGUUUAAUC